rnacentral:rRNA from 1 species
CCGGAAUAGCCUUUCGAAAGAAAGAUUAAUACCGGAUAGUAUACGAAUAUCGCAUGAUAUUUUUAUUAAAGAAUUUCGGUUAUCGAUGGGGAUGCGUUCCAUUAGUUUGUUGGCGGGGUAACGGCCCACCAAGACUACGAUGGAUAGGGGUUCUGAGAGGAAGGUCCCCCACAUUGGAACUGAGACACGGUCCAAACUCCUACGGGAGGCAGCAGUGAGGAAUAUUGGUCAAUGGGCGCAGGCCUGAACCAGCCAAGUAGCGUGAAGGAUGAAGGCUCUAUGGGUCGUAAACUUCUUUUAUAUGGGAAUAAAGUUUUCCACGUGUGGAAUUUUGUAUGUACCAUAUGAAUAAGGAUCGGCUAACUCCGUGCCAGCAGCCGCGGUAAUACGGAGGAUCCGAGCGUUAUCCGGAUUUAUUGGGUUUAAAGGGAGCGUAGGUGGAUUGUUAAGUCAGUUGUGAAAGUUUGCGGCUCAACCGUAAAAUUNGCAGUUGAAACUGGCAGUCUUGAGUACAGUAGAGGUGGGCGGAAUUCGUGGUGUAGCGGUGAAAUGCUUAGAUAUCACGAAGAACUCCGAUUGCGAAGGCAGCUCACUAGACUGUAACUGACACUGAUGCUCGAAAGUGUGGGUAUCAAACAGGAUUAGAUACCCUGGUAGUCCACACAGUAAACGAUGAAUACUCGCUGUUUGCGAUAUACAGUAAGCGGCCAAGCGAAAGCAUUAAGUAUUCCACCUGGGGAGUACGCCGGCAACGGUGAAACUCAAAGGAAUUGACGGGGGCCCGCACAAGCGGAGGAACAUGUGGUUUAAUUCGAUGAUACGCGAGGAACCUUACCCGGGCUUAAAUUGCAAAUGAAUAAUCAAGAAAUUGGUUAGCCGUAAGGCAUUUGUGAAGGUGCUGCAUGGUUGUCGUCAGCUCGUGCCGUGAGGUGUCGGCUUAAGUGCCAUAACGAGCGCAACCCUUAUCUUUAGUUACUAACAGGUCAUGCUGAGGACUCUAGAGAGACUGCCGUCGUAAGAUGUGAGGAAGGUGGGGAUGACGUCAAAUCAGCACGGCCCUUACGUCCGGGGCUACACACGUGUUACAAUGGGGGGUACAGAAGG